GCUACACAUGCAAGUCGAGGGGUAGUUACUUUCGGGUAAUGAGACCGGCGCACGGGUGCGUAACGCGUAUGCAAUCUACCUUUUACAGGGGAAUAGCCCAGAGAAAUUUGGAUUAAUGCCCCAUAAUAUAUGUUUUUCGCAUGUUAGACAUAUUAGAGUUCCAACGGUAAAAGAUGAGCAUGCGUCCCAUUAGUUAGUUGGUAAGGUAACGGCUUACCAAGACGAUGAUGGGUAGGGGCCCUGAGAGGGAGAUCCCCCACACUGGUACUGAGACACGGACCAGACUCCUACGGGAGGCAGCAGUGAGGAAUAUUGGACAAUGGGCGCAAGCCUGAUCCAGCCAUGCCGCGUGCAGGAAGACGGUCCUAUGGAUUGUAAACUGCUUUUGUACGGGAAGAAACACUCCUACGUGUAGGAGCUUGACGGUACCGUAAGAAUAAGGAUCGGCUAACUCCGUGCCAGCAGCCGCGGUAAUACGGAGGAUCCAAGCGUUAUCCGGAAUCAUUGGGUUUAAAGGGUCCGUAGGCGGUUUAGUAAGUCAGUGGUGAAAGCCCAUCGCUCAACGAUGGAACGGCCAUUGAUACUGCUAGACUUGAAUUACAAGGAAGUAACUAGAAUAUGUAGUGUAGCGGUGAAAUGCUUAGAUAUUACAUGGAAUACCAAUUGCGAAGGCAGGUUACUACUUGUGGAUUGACGCUGAUGGACGAAAGCGUGGGGAGCGAACAGGAUUAGAUACCCUGG
rnacentral:rRNA from 1 species